CACUUUCUUAGUGAAUCCUAGUAAUCUCCAACCUGCUUCUGAUGGGUUUUUUAACAACGAUGAAAUUAUAGAAAGUGUUCCUGUUUUAUUUCUGAUAAUGGCAAGUGUGAAUGGUGGAAUUCUACUCAUUGGGCUGCUUAUGUACCAAGAAUUACCACGAGAGUCAAAUCAGGAAGAAAUAAUUUCCAGCGAACUAACUACUGUGUACGAAACGUCAAGACAAUCAUGUAGUUAAGAACUUGGUGGACCAGUUUCGAAAGACUUGGACUGUAUAACAACAAUAAAUAACGAAAAAUUAUGUGAAUCAUUGGAAGAAGAUUCAGCCAAGGUGAACGUUGAUGACGAACAACAGUACAGUAAUAGUCAAGUUGAACUUCAUGUG
rnacentral:lncRNA from 1 species